rnacentral:lncRNA from 1 species
UCCCCUACUAUCGCGUCACCUGAGGUCCGGCGAGCCGCCCCGUUGCCUUGCCGACCCAUUUGCCCCACCGGAGCACCUUGCUCGAUGGUGGCCGAAGCCUCUCCCCGCUGCACGCCCAGGCGCUUCCUCCCUAGUGCUCCUCGAUGGUAGCUGACACCACCACGGGAUGCGCCUCUCACUCCUGAGCUCGUGAGCAGGUCGGCCGUCGUCUGCGGUGGUCGGAGCCAUCGGCAAUCGCCGUCGAGGCGAGCCCCUCCCUCUGUCAGGCGCUCGCAUGAGCGGGAGGUUGAAGACGCCAGGCCAGGCGGGCCCCUCCCCAUGCGACCCCACCUGGCAGCGUCUCGGUGUUGACCCCGCCCCGGGCCCACGUUUGUAAGUGAAGGCGUAUUCUGGUUAUGCAUUUUCGAUAUACGAAAGCAUAUUUUCUCCCUCUUUUACCUGAAAUAUGCUUUCUUAGUUCUAAAAGCGUAUUCGCUUUGCACUUCGGCUCAAAAUACGUUUCUCUUUGAAGAAAACGUAUUCGGCCCAAAGGCGCGUUCAGUUUUUCCUCCAGGGGCCUGUUUGCUGAAAAAAAUUCACCGGUAGGUCCCGGAGCUUCAACCCUUCUUAUCUCGACAACCGUAACUCCGAUUGAGGUGAUUCCAAUGCUCAUGUUCUUGGUUCGUCGAGCUCUUUCCGUUGGUAUCAUUUUCAUAAUGUUUGCACAUAGUGAAAAUGACAACUUUGCCCUUGCCCAUAAACAGCCCCCUCCGAGAGAGAACUGUUUCCGGCAACCCUUUCCGCAAGCAUUUCACACUUCUUCCCGAAGUAUUUGUCGACCCCAGGAAAGCCAAACUCUUAUCAUGAGCCCCGAACUUGCAUGUUGACUUUGCUUGCACCUCGUGUGUGUGUUUAGUUGCAGUAGUUUCUUGUCUAUUCCGUCUGCUGUUAUUUUAGUCGUGCUAUAUGUUUUUGUCAUCUGUCUUGCAUGCUUAUGCUUUCAUGAAAUAAGUUGACAUGUUAAUUUGCUGUUGUUACUAGUAAUAUCAUGCCUCUGUCUAGUUUCUUCUCAUGUUAGUAGUAUCGAUGUUAUGAUAUUCUGUUGCACUAGUGAAAUUACUAGUACUUGUUAUUGCCAUGUUUCGCAUGCUAUCAUUGUUCAUUUGAAAAGCUUGAUUUUGUUACUGCAUCGGUAUGUUGCAUGAUAGUUUUUGCACUCAUGUUAAAAUGCUCGCAUGUUGAUUGAUGACGGUGAAGUUAAUAAUAUGACUUAAUAUCAAACCUUCUCCAUCAUCACUGGGAUAUCAUAGUGCCACCAAAUCGAGCUUUCUCCAGUGCAACCACAUUUACCUUAUGGGAGGUCCUAGCUGGGUCUAUUGUCAUUCCUCUCGCCGGUGCCUCCCGCGAGGGAAGGUUAUGGGCACGCGUUACCCUGAUCAGGUAGGCGGACAUAAGCCUUGUGUGCCCGAGUUAGAUUUUGAGCUCAUGUCCCCGUUUGGGACCGUUUUGCCACGACAGUGGCCGUUGGUACCUUUGGUAGGUACGGGGCCACCCUGGACUGAGCCUAUAAGGGGUGUUGGUCGGAGUGGCCGGGAGAGUGUCAUGGCAGUAGGUCGGUUUUGUCGGAACGCCGUUGGUCCACCCAAAUCGGAGUGCGAGGCCAUGGGUUCCGUGGUGUGGGUACAAUGCGCUACCUCUGAAGAGUGUAUUUUAAUCUAUCGAUAGCCGCGUCCUCGGUCAUGGGCACAAGUUCGUAGUAGGUCACACUAUCGGAUCUUGGUCGAAGUAGAGGAUAAACCUGAAAUAACUAAGUUGAUGAUUAAUGUGAAAUAAAAGAAUGUGAUGACUUGGAAUAUGGGAAAAUCGUGAGAAGUCACGAUGAUGUGUGAUAUGACCCCGAGACGAGGUCUCGGUAAGUCAUGUGUGUGCUCCGAGGAGCCGUGGCCGAGUAAGUGAUUAUUGCAUAAGGUUAUUAUCAUAUGUCUUCACGGGAGGUAAAUGGUAGUUUAUUUCCAGCAUAGUUUCAUGAUGCCAUGCCAUGUUUUUAUAUGCUACGCUUUGUUGUUGCUUUGUUAGAAGUAAAUUUGAUAUGCCCUGCUAGUAGAUGCUAUGAUGUUGUUCAUGCUUAGUUUGAUUUAAGAUUCUAGUUAAUAUCAUGCCAUACUUAGAAGUUGUGUUGAAGUAGACUGCUGCAUAUGCUUGGUUCUUGCUAGUCAUCUGUUUUUUUGGAUGUUGUGUAUUUGGUUGUCUUGCAAGUACAUUCAAUGAACUGACCUGGCGUGUCAUGCCAGUUUUGUAGGUCGUGCCUGAAUUGUUCACUUGUUCCGUCGUGCUAGGCCGUAAUAUUGCCAGUCCUGUGAGUUGUGGAGCCCAGCCAGAGUUGAUGAGCCGCCAAACCAAGACUUCCGCCACCACUUAAAUAGACUUCCGCUGCCAUAUAAUAGCCUUAGGGCUAUGCCAGAUAAUUGUAUUCAUCAAUGAUGUAAUCUUAUACGCAUGUAUUUGAUGAAUAUUAUUGUAACUGGAGUGCUAUAUCAUGGGCCUGUCGUGCGUCAGGUGUUAUCCUGGGCUGACAUGCGAAGCCCCCCUGCUCCAUGCGGAUCGGGGUGCCACAGGAGAUGGUAUCAGAGCAGCCAGGCUGGCAUAGAU